rnacentral:rRNA from 1 species
GGGAUGAACGCUGGCGGUCUGCUUAACACAUGCAAGUCGAACGGAGUACCUCGGUACUUAGUGGCGGACGGGUGAGUAACGCGUGAGAAUCUGCCCUUAGGUCGGGGACAACCAUUGGAAACGAUGGCUAAAUACCGGAUAAGCCGAGAGGUAAAAGAUUAAUUGCCUAGGGAAGAGCUCGCGUCUGAUUAGCUAGUUGGUGAGGUAAAGGCUCACCAAGGCAUCGAUCAGUAGCUGGUCUGAGAGGAUGAUCAGCCACACUGGGACUGAGACACGGCCCAGACUCCUACGGGAGGCAGCAGUGGGGAAUUUUCCGCAAUGGGCGAAAGCCUGACGGAGCAAGACCGCGUGAGGGAGGAAGGCUCUUGGGUUGUAAACCUCUUUUCUUGGGAAGAACAAAAUGACGGUACCCAAGGAAUCAGCAUCGGCUAACUCCGUGCCAGCAGCCGC